AUUUACCUUUUUGGUUUUAUAUAUAUAUAUAUAUAUAUAUAAUUUUUUUUAGUUGUAGGUGGACACAAUACCUUUUUUAUUUAUAUGUGGUGCUGAGGAUCAAACCCAGGACCUCACACAUGCUAGGGAAGUCCUCUGCUGCUGAGCCACAACCCAAGCCCCAUUAUUUACCAUUUUAAUCUAUUAAUUUGACUUAUAUAUAGGCCCACUUGAUUAAGUCCAAGAAAUGGACCUUAUCCUUACCAUCUCUAUAUUUACUUAAAAGCACAGAUUUUAAAUAGUAUAACCAUUGGUAAAAUUAGAAAAAUCACUUCCAAAGGAGACAAGUCUGAUUUGAAAGUUUUAAUUAUGUGGAUUAUUGUUGGAAGAGACAGAACAACAGAUACUUUCAUAAUAAAUUUAUGGAAAUGUUAGGGAAAAAAUACCCUGACGCUAUUGCUUUUUUGAGAGCACUGUUUAGGAUGAAUCCACUAAAAGCCUUGUUGAACAAAUUUUUUAACUCCUAUGCCAUAUGCCAAAUCAGUUUUAAUAACUGCCUCAAAGAAUGUUCUCAGCAUUAAAUGAGCUAGCUUUGUUAAGGGCUUAUAUGACUGAUAUUUUAGUAAAAAAUAAAUGGUGCAUUUUUAAAAUUAUUGCAUCAAAAAGUCCACCUUUAUUUGCCCAUUUGGUAGUUUGAGGGUUUUUUUGGGGAGUGGGGAGUAGUUGAUAGAUUUUCUUACUUGAGAAACAGUCCAUACUAUUGGGCAUAUGUAUGUAUGUAUGUUUGUUUUACAUUUUUAUUUAUUUUUAUGUGGUGCUGAGGAUCGAACCUAGUGCCUCACACGUGCUAGCAAAUGCUCUACUGUUAAGCCCUAGCCCCAGCCCCCAUGUGUGUUAAAUCUUUACAGAAAAGAUUUAACAGAAAAAUUACUGACUUGAAUUGAGAAAAAAAAAAAUAGCUUGUUAAGGGAAGAAUGACUUUGUAUAUAAAAACAGCAUGCCUCCCAUUUUUAAAAAGAUGUGGCUAUAAAUAGCAAUUUUGCCAUGGCAAUGGAUAAAAAGAUCAGGCUUCCCAAAUUUGAUGGGUCUCAUACAGAACAUCUGAAUCCCCUUGCUCAUCCCCUAAAUCUUCUUUCUUAGUCUCUGAUUUCAAUAAAUAGCACAACCAUUCGUCAGGUUGUUUGUGCUUAAAAUUAAGAAUUUGUUUGAUUUCUCACAUUCUACAUCCAACUCAUCAACCAGUACCAUAAACUUGCCUUAUAAUUAUAUUCUGAAUUCAGCAGUUUACCACCUUCAGUGCUGCCACUAAGACACCAUCAUUUUUUAUUGGAUCAUAGCCGCAUACUCAUCAUUUACUCCUAUUUUUCCCUGCUUUCUCAUGAAAAUUUCCCCCUUCAAACAUAAUACCAGCCAGAACCAUCAUUUCAAAUUUUUAUGUUAUGUUCCUUCCAUACUUAAAACUUAAAAUAGCUUCUCUAUGCACACAUAAUAAAACCCAAAUCCCUUACCAUGACCUUCAAGAUGGUAUACUCUGGCCACUGCCUAUUCUCCAACUUUAUCUAGUUCUCACCCAUCUAAUUGCUUCUCUAUUUCUGUCAUGUGCCAGGCUUUUUCUAGUCUGUAGCAGAGAUAUGUUAGUUGUCUCUAAACUUUCCUCCAUUUUUUUUGUAGUGAUAAACAUGGAUACAUGACUGCCUAGAAUAAAGACUAUAUUUUCCAGCCUUCCUUGUAGUAAUAGUGAUGGCCAGUGUAAUAUUAGCAGAUAUAUCAUGUGACACCCUUGAAGAAUUAUUCUUAAAUGGCACCUGCUACACCCUUCAAUCCUUUGCUGCUUUUUCUGUAUUUUGUACCCUGGAAUGAGAUGGCCUGAAAUUCUAAUUUGAAUUCAGACCAUUUGCAAGUACUCUUACCCUAGGGAUUGGCAAAUCCUUAAACUGGUGGAAAUCAGGAUCCUUCUGAGUUUAUGGAUAAAAACACUAUUCUAGCCUUAAAUUCCUUACCUUCAAGUUUUGAUAUGGAAAGAAAGUAACCUUUUAUCUCAUUAAAGCCCUUAAUUGGGGCCUCGUACUAAACUGAUAACUCCAUUUUAGAGUCUUUGCGCUUGCUAUUUAUUGUCUUUCUGCCUGAUAUGUAAUUUUUCAGUCUUCUCUGUGGCUGACUCAU
rnacentral:lncRNA from 1 species